UAUAGGUCAGAUGAAACCUAGUUGGUUGCGAUAUGUUGCCAUUCAAUACCAUAUCACAGCUUGCUCUAGGUUUAAUCUCGACUUAUUUUUCUCAUC
rnacentral:pre_miRNA from 1 species